rnacentral:rRNA from 1 species
GACAGAGGGUGCAAACGUUGUUCGGAAUUACUGGGCGUAGAGCGUGUGUAGGCGGCCUUGCAAGUCGGAUGUGAAAGCCCCGGGCUCAACCCGGGAAGUGCACCCGAUACUGCUGGGCUCGAGUACCGGAGAGGUUGGUGGAAUUCUCGGUGUAGAGGUGAAAUUCGUAGAUAUCGAGAGGAACACCGGUGGCGAAGGCGGCCAACUGGACGAGUACUGACGCUGAGACACGAAAGCGUGGGGAGCAAACAGG